AAUUACCCACUCCCGGCACGGGGAGGUAGUGACGAAAAAUAACGAUACGGGACUCAUCCGAGGCCCCGUAAUCGGAAUGAGUAUACUCUAAAUCCUUAUACGAGUAUCAAUUGGAGGGCAAGUCUGGUGCCAGCAGCCGCGGUAAUUCCAGCUCCAAUAGCGUAUAUUAAAGUUGUUGCGGUUAAAAAGCUCGUAGUUGGAUCUGUGUCCCGCACCGACGGUUCGCCGCCUGUCGGUGUUCAACCGUUGUGUACGCGGGACGUCCUGCCGGUGGUGGUCCGGUUCUCAGUUGGCACGUAGGGGUCGUCCUUGCUUUGCAUGCGUCUGCCCCGAAGGCCUUCUUGUGGGCCGGCCACCUUUUACAUCCCGUCGCGGUGCUCUUUACCGAGUGUCGAGGCGGGCCGGCACGUUUACUUUGAACAAAUUAGAGUGCUUUAAGCAGGCCCUGUCCCGCCUGUAUGUUGUGUGCAUGGAAUAAUGGAAUAGGACCUCGGUUCUAUUUUGUUGGUUUUCGGAAUCUGAGGUAAUGAUCAAUGGGGACAGGCGGGGGCAUUCGUAUUGCGACGUUAGAGGUGAAAUUCUUGGAUCGUCGCAAGACGGACCGAAGCGAAAGCAUUUGCCAAGUAUGUUCUCGUCGAUCAAGAACGAAAGUUAGAGGUUCGAAGGCGAUCAGAUACCGCCCUAGUUCUAACCAUAAACUAUGCCUGCCAGCGAUCCGCCGAAGUUCCUCCGAUGACUCGGCGGGCAGCUUCCGGGAAACCAGAGCUUUUGGGUUCCGGGGGAAGUAUGGUUGCAAAGCUGAAACUUAAAGGAAUUGACGGAAGGGCACCACCAGGAGUGGAGCCUGCGGCUUAAUUUGACUCAACACGGGAAAACUCACCAGGCCCGGACACCGGAAGGAUUGACAGAUUGAGAGCUCUUUCUUGAUUCGGUGGGUGGUGGUGCAUGGCCGUUCUUAGUUGGUGGAGCGAUUUGUCUGGUUAAUUCCGAUAACGAACGAGACUCUAGCCUACUAACUAGGCGUACCCGGUAUCCACAAUCGUGCUACCGGCGAUCAAAUUUCUUCUUAGAGGGACAGGCGGCUUCUAGCCGCACGAGACUGAGCAAUAACAGGUCUGUGAUGCCCUUAGAUGUCCUGGGCCGCACGCGCGCUACACUGAAGGAAUCAGCGUGUCUUCCCUGUCCGAAAGGACCGGGUAACCCGCUGAACCUCCUUUGUGCUAGGGAUUGGGGCUUGCAAUUGUUCCCCAUGAACGAGGAAUUCCCAGUAAGCGCGAGUCAUAAGCUCGCGUUGAUUACGUCCCUGCCCUUUGUACACACCGCCCGUCGCAC
rnacentral:rRNA from 1 species